UGGUUGCAUAUCACCACGUCAUCGUCCUACGUGGUAUGUAUGAACCAUUCAAAAUUCGACACGUGUGCGAUGACAUGAAAUUAAAAAAUUGGAUUCGGAACCUCUCUUUCUUUUCUCUCUCCUCCGAAGAAGACUGACACACGCAACAUUAAUUGCCUUCUCUCUCUUCCCUUUUGUAAAAGAACUCUGUUCCAGAUGAGGAGGUCCUCCUCCUCUCUCUCAAAUUUCAAAUUUCACUCCCUCUCUGCGUCCGAAGACACACUCUCUCGCCUUCGGCUCCGGCACGUCGCCUCCGCCGUCGCCACCACGAGCCCCAUUGCUGCUGGGUUUGAAGCUCGUAUCCGCCUCCGGCACUGCGGCUCAAAUCCGCAUCUGGCACGUUGUGACUCUUUUUCUCGUGGGUUUUGGCUUCCAAAACUAGGUGGCGGGAUCUUUGGAGGCAUUGGUCCAGGAAUGCUAGGUCUAGAAAUGCCUCUGCAUCAGCAACAGAAGCCCCCAAAUGCCCAAAACCCUCACUCCUUGCACCAAUAGGUGGUUCGAGGGGUCACAGUGGGCAAGGACACAAAGAUGAAAACGCUCACAACGAGAGGACAUCUUCGCGCAAAAGGCCGAGGAAAUGCCUACUCUCGCUCUCUAUGGCACUCCUGCGACAACUGAGCGGCGAGGUGACAAGCAUGAUGCAAGACGGCAACAGGAGUCUGUGGGAGAAGAAGCCGUAGAUGAAGGCGAAGGUGUUGUAGCUGGAGGAGCAGCAAGUUAGCUACCAGCUGCAAGCGUUCGAGCUCGAAAAGGUAGCGGCUGAAGUGGGUGAAGUUCAGCAACAAGAAGGAAA